rnacentral:rRNA from 1 species
UACGGGGGGGGCAAGCGUUGUUCGGAAUUACUGGGCAUAAAGGGCUAGUAGGUGGCCAACUAAGUCAGACGUGAAAUCCCUCAGCUUAACUGGGGAACUGCGUCUGAUACUGGAUGGCUUGAGUUUGGGAGAGGGAUGCGGAAUUCCAGGUGUAGCGGUGAAAUGCGUAGAUAUCUGGAGGAACACCGGUGGCGAAGGCGGCAUCCUGGACCAACACUGACACUGAUGAGCGAAAGCCAGGGGAGCAAACAGG